rnacentral:rRNA from 1 species
UACGUAGGAUGCAAGCGUUAUCCGGAAUUAUUGGGCGUAAAGAGUGUGUAGGUGGUUUGUUAAGUUAAAUGUUAAAUCUUCAGGCUCAACUUGAAGGCCGCAUUUAAUACUGGCAGACUCGAGGUAUGGAGAGGUAAGCGGAAUUAGUAGUGUAGCAGUGAAAUGCGUAGAUAUUACUAGGAACACCAAUGGCGAAGGCAGCUUACUGGCCAUAAUCUGACGCUGAAACACGAAAGCGUGGGGAGCGAACGGG